AAUACGUUCUGAGGAAACUAUUUUGCAAAUCGCAAUUACGUUACAUGCCAACAUAUAAGCAGUGCUAUUACGUUGGUCCUUAACCUAAUAAAGCCAAUUUAUUGCAGUGCUAUUACGUUUGUCCUGAACAUAAUACAUCCAAAGCAGGUUUCUUUUCACACGUAGCAGCUAAUGCUGUUCAUUUUGUUUUAAUUAUUUACUCCCUUUUUUCUGAUCGGGCUACAAAAUAUUAUUUAUGCCAGGGGGAGUCAAAUGGCGGCACCCAGAUAAUUUUUAUCUGGCCCUCCAACUGGUUUUUGAUGUUUAAAACCGCUCGCAAUCUGAUAUCAAAGUCCCCGCAAAGGUUUAGCGUUUUCAGCGGUGAGUUUAACGUUGUUGCAAAGAUUUUUCUGAUCUCGCCAGAAUAAUGUGAAACUGCUACGUUUUGGUUGCUAUGAACAAUAUUUUAUUUUCUGCAUCAAAAUAAGGUUUGAUUACAUUUUAAGCAAAAAAUAUAUAUUAUUUAUUUUCAUAAUAUUCAUUCAGUGAAUGUACAUAAUCACUCGCUUGCGCGUUGUUGCAAAGAUUUAUCUGAUCUAGCCAGAAUAAUGUGAAACUGCUACGUUUUGGUUGCUAUGAACAAUAUUUUGAGUUAGUUUCUGCAUAAAAAUAAGGUUUGAUUACAUUUUUAGCGAGAAAUAUAUAUUCUAUUUUCAUAAUAUUCACUCAGUGAAUGUCAACCCGUUCUCACUCCUGACCGUUCUCACGCUGAAGAAGUCUCCUUCAGAACACAUCGCGAUAUUUGGCAUCAGUUCGCGUGUGCUGGAUGUUGGUAAGUAGUCGUAAAUACGCUGUUCUAAUGUUUGAUAUAAUGUCUUUUCUGUUUGCAGAUAUUAAUCAGAUUAACGUUAGCUCCCUCAUGUUCAGUCACUGCAUUAUAUCUGUCACCUCCGCUAAGGUUUUGCUUUUCAUUGUUUUCUAUAUUAAAUACUAAACUAGGGUGAUUAAACACUGUCACGUGACGUGCAAUAUAUUGCACAAUAUAUAUAACAUAUUCAUAUCAGGUUCAAAGUAGUACAAGUGUAGUUUCAAAAUGGUAUUUGUUGUAGAAGCACGGUAAAAAACAACACUUACCAUGGUUUUUACCACAGUAUUGGUAGUUUUAAUGUGAUUUUUGUUGUAAAUACAGAGUAACCACAACACUUAUCAUGCUUUUAAUGCCUAAUAAUGUUAAAUCCAAAAACUGUAAGGUCAAUAAGAACUUCUUUCCUAUAUAUAUUUAUAUAUAAACCUAUAUAUUAUAAAUAAUGAUAUUUUCUUUUCUCUUGUUUUAGCUGAAAAGACAAAAAGGGCCUUUCGGAAAUGGAUGAAGGAGACAGAAAGCUGCAAAGGCAAAUAAUUGCAAUGAAGGAAAUCCUACGGUUAUGUAUGAACUCACAACAUCAUCAUCAAGUGCUGUGCUGGGCACAUUGGGUAACAAGUGUCCUCCAACGUAUCCAAUCUGUGACCACAUUCUCCACAUCUUCCCAUGGGACACCGACAUUCUUCAGGCCUUCGUUUCCAUGUCUUCCCCUGCAUUCUCCUGGUGGUGUCCACUUCAUAUCUGUCUUUGGGUGUUGUUGUUUGGUCAUGCUUAGGGUGUGUCCGGGGAGGUGCACCCUUCACUCUGUCACAGUUUUUAAAAGUCUUCACGUGGACUCCUCCUUAUGAUCUCCUUGAAACGUGCAGAACCAAUAUUGAAAAUAGUAAUUUAUCUUUUUCCAUAUUCUUGCCUUUAUCAAAGAAGCACCAGUGCUCAUCCGGAGUUUUGGUAAAAGUUCUAGUAAUGCUGCGACUAUAGUCAAAUAUGUAUUUCUGCAUGUGUGUAUAGCAGGUGUUUGUCCGAACAAUUGAAGUUAGUGAGAGUGUUCAGGAAAACCCUCUGAGAACAAUCAAUAUUUAUUUAAUUCUGUUUGGUGCUGAUAUAGAGUAUUACAGAAAUGACACAUUGACAUUCUGGACAUUAUUCUGUGAGUUUGUUACCUCUUCAUUUAGAUGGACUUGAAAAUGUCUUGCAUUUUGUUUCAUUAAACCUUUUAUUACAGUGUCACUAUAGUAAAUGUCCACCUUAACUACAUCUAUGGUAUCAUUAUAUCAGUACCUGGAUAAUGUAAAUGUAACAUACCCAUGAAUGUAUUUUAUAGAAGCAUUUUAUUGCUGAAAAUAUUUAACAUUUAUAAAAUGCAUUAACUAUU